UUUUAAUUUACUUUUACAGAAACCUCAAUUUGUAAUGGAAUCAGCAGGUACUGUUCAUUUUGGAAUUUUCACUGAGUAAAAAUACAAUUCAAAGUAAAUAAAAAUAAUGAAAAGAGAUUAUCUGCCCCACAGUAACGAGACUCUCCUGUCCGCUGGACUCGUGAGCGCCCCAUGUAGUGCGGACCUGCAGCAGUACGCUUGCUCUUCGCUCACAGGCUUCACUGCUGGAAACCUGGCUGGACUCCUGAAGUGUCAACUAUCCAGCAGCAGAAGUUACUCCAAGGAGAUCUGGAAACUGCUUUUCACCAAAGCAAAUGAUGUUCUGGACGGAGCCCUCGUCAUCUUCUCCAGCGCAGCAGCAAAUAUGUCUCAGCCAAUCAGAGGUGAUGUCGUGUCCCAAGUGCUGGAUGUGAUUGGAGAGCUGAGACUGGAGCGCAUCAGUCCUGACCAAUGGCGAGACCUCCCUUUCAUCAGCAUGUUGUUGGGUCAAUAUCUGAAGCCGUUUUUACCGUUUGCGUCAUCAUCCCUACUGCUGUGCACUAGCAGCAAAAAAACCUCAGCUGCCAAACUUACCAGCACAUGUAAGAAAAAGAUUUCCUCAACAAUAGCUCAAGACUGUCAUGAGCUGAUAAGAUGCUUGUUCAACAUUAUUUUUCAACCAUUUCUCAGUCUGUCAGAGGUCACACUCGUCAAUGAGACUCAAGGAAGAAACAUGGUGAACUUCUUCAUUCUGCCCUUCCUCAGAAGAAACACAACAGGUGAGGUGGAGGUUCACAGAUGUUUCAUAUGAAGGUUCUGGAGUUCAUGAAGGUGAUUUCACUGUGUGUGUUGUGUGUGUCAGAUGCGGGCUGUGUGUCGACUGCUAACAACAGUGUUGAGUGGCUGCAGAAGAACUUUUGGCCCGUUCUCUCAGUUUGUGCCUCUCACAGAUCUGCUCUCCAUCAACAGACUCUUUGAUCCCGUAUGUCUCCACAUCUUCACAUGUGAUUUCAUCAAAGAAGGUUUAUACAAAUAACACUGACAUCACUUCACCCGUCACCGAUAUUCUCUUGUUCUUCUGUGUGUCUUUAGUUGGAGACCCUGGACAAUCUCACUCCAAAGCAGGUGGCUGGACUGAUGGUUGAAGAUCUACCUGGCCUACCAGAGAAGGAAGUCGUCAUCAAUUCAGUGUUCGACUAUCUGCUUGUGUCUCCUGUGGAGCGAGGACUUCGUGAUGUUCUUCAAAACCUGCUCUCAAUCUCACAGAUGGUAAAAAUUUACACAGUUGUUCUCGAUGGCUCUUUGCAAACCCUAGUCUGAUGCCUCAGGGUUUCGUCUUUGCAUGUGGUUUGUCUUAAAUGAUAUUUAAAGUAAAUCUGCAGUGGUCAAAUACGUGAGUUUGAUGAAUCAUAUGUGUGACAACAGCACUGAUGCUUGUUUGUGUUUCUACAGGCCAUUAUUCCGUGCAGCUCCUACAUACUGAUGUAAGUGCAUUUGGUACAUGAUAUUGAGUCUCUGGCGUCUCUUGCACUGAGAUCUGCUGUAAUUCUGCUGUUCUUUCUCAGAUUCCAGAGGCUGUUUCAGGCUUUACCUUCCCUGCCUACAGAGGUGGAGACUUUGAUCUUGCACACAACUGGAGAACUCAAGCAGAAUGGAGCAAGAGGUUAUCCUUGAUCUUCCUCACUUCUUGCUGUUGAAUCCUCUAGAAGAUCAGCAUGUUUCUAAUUACUUCAGAUGGAAUUAAUUAAUAAAUGUUUGUCUUACUUUCAGACUGUUCACUUCCUGAACCUCCAACAGUAAGAGUUUGUUUUUAGCAUACGUUCCAUCUCUGUCUUGUUCAGUCC
ensembl:lncRNA